UAUGGAAAACAAGAAAAACCAAAAGAGGAAACCAUUUCUAAUGAGGAGACUAGUUCAAUUAUUCUGAAGUCAAGCCCUGCUAAUCAAGGAGUUGGACCGACUGUGACAUUUGGGGAAGCCCCACAGAACAGGAUGGGAUCUUUUAUGAAGAAAUGGAUUGGGAAGAAAAACAUAAGAUAAGGUUGGAACCUCUUCUGGUGCAAGAAGGUCCUAAAUAUUACUGAGGAUCUCUCAUCUUCUAGGUGAAGCUCACAAAAUUGCCCUGGAGGUUGCUGCCUUCCUGGAAGCCAGAGUGAAAAAAAAAAAGAGGACAUGCAGUUGCACAUGGGAGGAUUUUGUGGGCCAUGGUUAUCAGGGCACAAUCCCUUAGCUCACCUUUCUCUGGUGAGAAAACACUUCCAGUGCCACACCUCAGUCUCCUCCCUCUGGUGAAAAAAACACUUCCAGUGCCACACCUCAGCCUCCUUCCUCUGGUGAAAAAACAGUUCCAGUGCCAUACCUCAGCCUUUCCUCUGGUAAAAAACACUUCCAGUGCCACACCUCAGCCUCCCUCCUCUGGUGAAAAAACACUUCCAGUGCUACACCUCAGCCUCCUUCCUCUGGUGAAAAAAUACUUCCAGAGCCACACCUUACCCUCCUUCCUCUGGUGAGAAACUACUUCCAGUGCCACACCUCAGCCUCCUUCCUCUGGUGACAAAACACUUCCAGUGCCACAACUCAGCCUCCUUCGACUGGUGAGAAAACACUUCCAGUGCCACACCUCAGCCUCCUUCCUCUGCUGAGAAAACACUUCCAGUGCCACAGCUCAGCCUCCUUCCUCUGGUCACAAAACACUUCCAGUACUACACAUCACUGCUGGAGAACUGGAGAGUGGAGUCUUCCAGCCCAAGAAGAAAGAAAUAUAGGAUUUUGUCAAGUACCAGAAGUUUCUGCCACACUCAGUGGGCAUU
rnacentral:lncRNA from 1 species